rnacentral:piRNA from 1 species
AACUCAUUGAGAAGACAGUAGACAU